rnacentral:rRNA from 1 species
UUGCUCUUCAACGAGGAAUUCUUAGUAAGCGCGAGUCCUCACCUCGUGCCGAUUACNUCCCUGCCCUUUGUAUUCACCGCCCGUCCCUACUACCGAUCGAAUGGCUCGGUGAGGCCUUCNGACUGGCGCAGGANGGUUGGCCCCGACCCCCCCGCCCCGGAAAGUUGGUCAAACCCGGUNNNNUAGAGGAAGCAAAAGUCGUAACNAGGUUUCCGUANGUGAACCUGCNNAAGGAUCAUUACCGACUGCGGGCUGCCUCCGGGCGCCCAUCCUCCCCCCCGUGACUACCUAACACUGUUGCUUCGCCGGGCAGCCCUCUCGGGGGCGAGCCGCCGGGGACUACUGAACUUCAUGCCUGAGAGUGAUGCAGUCUGAGUCUGAAUAUAAAAUCAGUCAAAACUUUCAACAAUGGAUCUCUUGGUUCCGGCAUCGAUGAAGAACGCAGCGAACUGCGAUAAGUAAUGUGAAUUGCAGAAUUCAGUGAAUCAUCGAGUCUUUGAACGCACAUUGCGCCCCCUGGCAUUCCGGGGGGCAUGCCUGUCCGAGCGUCAUUGCUGCCCAUCAAGCCCGGCUUGUGUGUUGGGUCGUCGUCCCCCCCGGGGGACGGGCCCGAAAGGCAGCGGCGGCACCGUGUCCGGUCCUCGAGCGUAUGGGGCUUUGUCACCCGCUCGAUUAGGGCCGGCCGGGCGCCAGCCGACGUCUCCAACCAUUUUCUUCAGGUUGACCUCGGAUCAGGUAGGGAUACCCGCUGAACUUAAGCAUAUCAAUAAGCGGAGGA